UACGUAGGGUGCAAGCGUUAAUCGGAAUUACUGGGCGUAAAGCGUGCGUAGGCGGCUAUGUAAGACAGAUGUGAAAUCCCUGGGCUAAACCUAGGAACUGCAUUUGUGACUGCAUUGCUAGAGUGUGGUAGAGGGAGAUGGAAUUCCGCAUGUAGCAGUGAAAUGCGUAGAUAUGCGGAGGAACACCGAUGGCGAAGGCAAUCCCCUGGGCCUGCACUGACGCUCAUGCACGAAAGCGUGGGGAGCAAACAGG
rnacentral:rRNA from 1 species